AUGCAGCAUGCAGUUCAAGUAGCACCCAGAGCAUGCAGCGUCAAGCCACCAAAACUGAACCUGGCCUUGUUUGCAGGAAGAACGAGAGAUCUCAAGGAGAUCAACAGUGACUCACUGUCGAGCAACAAAAAAACCAAAUAUGCAGCAAACUCAGGAAGGUCACAGCGGCCUCCAAGAGAAGUUCAACAUGGCAACGGGCGGGCGAAGCAGGUGGGGGCCAGGAGGAGGCUAGUGGUUGGCCACGGCGGUGCACUGUCAGGCAUUGCCGUCGGUGGUGGCGGGUGGCACGGCGGCGUACAGAGAAACCAGGGAGGCGCUCGUGGCCGGGGCGGAGCAGGGAGGAGGCGCACAUGGCAGGAGGUCGUCGCCGGCAGGAGGAGCUAG
rnacentral:rRNA from 1 species